UACGUAGGGCGCAAGCGUUGUCCGGAUUUAUUGGGCGUAAAGAGCUCGUAGGCGGUCUGUUACGUCGGCUGUGAAAACCCGAGGCUCAACCUCGGGCCUGCAGUCGAUACGGGCAGACUAGAGUGCGGUAGGGGAGACUGGAAUUCCUGGUGUAGCGGUGAAAUGCGCAGAUAUCAGGAGGAACACCGGUGGCGAAGGCGGCCUGCUGGGCAGUGGCUGACGCUGAGGCGCGACAGCGUGGGGAGCAAACAGG
rnacentral:rRNA from 1 species